CCGCUUGCUAACGUGCAGACCAUUUAUUUAAUGAAAGGGAAAUCAAAAACGUAUGAAUUCACGCUUUCUCGAGAGUGGGCAGUCACUCAUUACAAGCCAAUUGACAUGAUCAGAAAGCAUUCACACGUCCUGUAGCAGACACAGAACAGAAAGGAGGGGCGAAUUAAUGUCUUUUGGUUUUGAUCAAAGCAAACCCUAGGCCUCACUGAGAAGGCUUACCUUGUGACUCGAGAUUUUUGAAAGCCACAUUACCUGUGAUGCUUAACAAGACCAGCCAAGCAUCACAUAAAAUUACUUUGCAAAUGUUGAGGGGACACAAUUAGCCACCUCUGCCUUAAGACUGGCACCUAUCAAUUUUUUUACAUUUAUUUCUUUACUGGCCUUUAAAAAGCGCCAACAUAUUCCGUAGCGCUGAUUCAUGCAUAGUACCUGUCACCAGGAAAACUU